rnacentral:rRNA from 1 species
UACGGGGGGGGCAAGCGUUGUUCGGAAUUACUGGGCGUAAAGGGCUCGUAGGUGGCCAACUAAGUCAGACGUGAAAUCCCUCAGCUUAACUGGGGAACUGCGUCUGAUACUGGAUGGCUUGAGUUUGGGAGAGGGACGCGGAAUUCCAGGUGUAGCGGUGAAAUGCGUAGAUAUCUGGAGGAAGGCCGGUGGCGAAGGCGGCGCUCUGGAACGUUACUGACGCUGAGACACGAAAGCGUGGGGAGCAAACAGG